GCAACCUAUUUUUCCCAUCCAGCCGCCGCCACGACGGCCAUUCUUGCCCAGUCCCACGGCCAGCCAUCGGCGCCGCUCCUACUCUGCCCGGCCUAUCCCUCGGCCAACCGCCGUCACGCUGGUCGCUCCCUCACCAGGUCAGCCACUGCCACACCCGAUGCUCUCUGGGCCAGCCACCGCGACCGAUGCUCCUCAGCCUGCCGCCGUCGCUGCAAACGACGCUCCUCUGCAUGCUGCCGCCACCACGACCGAUGAUCUCCCGUGAAUUAAUUCUCUUCCCGCUACCGCUCUGUAGCCACCACUAGCCUUCCGCCUCCACGACGUCUGCCAUCCCAGCCACGAAUGCACAUGAAACGACAUGCCACACCACAUAAUUCAUCACCUAUUCAUUACCUCACUUUCCGUUACCCUGCAAAUGCGUAAUAAAAUGGGUUUAAAUACCCUAUGUGGUACCAUCGUCAUCCAUGACACACGCCUUCUCGCGUCCCAUCUGGGAAGAGGCCUCCGGCCAGGUUGCGCUUCAGGACAAAGGUGCUCGACUCCACGUUAUGCUUCAAACAUCUCUUACUUGCUGGGAAUUGUUUCAUUACUUCACAUGCCCCUUUGCAUUUUUUCCCCCUGAUUUGUGCUUUACUCUCACUUUGUCAUGUGCAACAAUGGUAAAAUGUUAAUAUGAAAAAUCAGGCUUUCAAAUUCCAUGGUACUUGCUAUAGUUCUUUUAGAUACAGAUCGAUUGCUCAUCCAAAUAAACUAUGUUGAUUAUGGAAAAUUAGGCUUUCAAAUUUAAUGGUACUUGCUAUAGUUCUUCUAGAUACAGAUCGAUUGUUCAUCCAAAUAAACUCUCUUGGUUCCUCAUAUUAUUAUACCCGAAACACUCCCUCUAGGUACUAGAUGAACUGAUCGAAAAGAGGCAAGGGGUAAGGUUAUCGAUUCAUUUUUUGGACAGUUCAGUUAGUUAAAUGAUUAUGUGGGCAUAUGAGUAUAUUUGUUACCAAUGCAACAUAUAUCUUUGAAAAAAUUAAGAUAGACCAUGGUGUUCAUGUCGAUUCUAUCAGCAUUUGUGUUAUCCUCCUUCUGCACUAUCCCAGAUUGCACUCCCGGAUCGCACGUGACGGACAUUUUGCUUCAUAGAUCUCUUGCUUCUUGCAUCGAUCAAAAAUGGAGUCUAAUGCUGGAUCAUCCUCUUCCCCAAGUGAAACGUUCAGUGAAAUAGAUAAUCAUAUGGAAUGUCUCUAUAUUACACCAAACGAGGCUGUUUGGCGCUUGCCUGAGUAUCACAUUCACCCUACAUACCUGUCCACAAAAAGACUCCCUGUUAUACUUAAUGGAAUGAAGAAUGAUUCAGUAUCCCAGUUCCCCAUAGGUCAUGUCAAAAAGAAAAGCUUCUCAAUCAACAACGCACACGUGCUUCGCUCUACAAAGCCAUCUCCAAUCAAAGAAUUGAUGACCCAUCCAUCUUCAACAAUAAAUAUUGAGAGUAUGAUGAUCCAAACACCAGAGGACUCAAACAAUACUACACAUCCCUCUUGCCCAGGCGCAACUAUCAACACUCAGAAAAAACAAGACAAGCACUCUUUAGCUAAAAGGAUCGCUGAAUUUACAGAAGAUGAAACCACCAACAAAGAGAGGUAUGAAUAGAGAACAAUAUUCCUAUUUACCAUGUAAUUUCUCAACGGUGCAAUAUUUACAUGUCACAGUCAAAAGGAGGUUGAUCUUGAGGCUGCAGAACUUCAUCUUCAAGUUGUCAAAAAGCAUAAGCAACACAAUGCAGGAAACAACAUGACAAUGAAUAGCUAAGAAAGGCCAAGAGGAUAACACCGAUAAAAAAACAUAGGUACUGUCAGUUUCAUGUCCAAAGAAAAUUGUCCGAAAGUUAGGAUAUUGUCAAGCACUCACUCAAGCAGCAACAAACUACACUGCCUUCUAUUUGAAUUACUUACAUUGUGGCUUUAAUUGUAAUCUCUAUCAUUAGUAGUACUUUUGGGUGAUCCGAUGCAUGUACUGAGUUAUGGAUAAUGCUUAUGCAACUAUAUACGGGCCGGAUUACAUUGCCUUUUAUUUAUAUAUAUUUAUAUUGUGGCUCACUUUUUCAA